rnacentral:rRNA from 1 species
UACGGGAGGCAGCAGUGGGGAAUAUUGCACAAUGGGCGAAAGCCUGAUGCAGCUAUGCCGCGUGUAUGAAGAAGGCCUUAGGGUUGUAAAGUACUUUCAUCGGGGAGGAAAAAACAAAACUAAUAAUUUUAUUUCUUGACGUUACCCGAAAAAGAAGCACCGGCUAACUCCGUGCCAGCAGCCGCGGUAAUACGGAGGGUGCUAGCGUUAAUCAGAAUUACUGGGCGUAAAGAGCACGUAGGUGGUUUUUUUAAGUCAGAUGUGAAUCCCUGGGCUUAACCUAGGAACUGCAUUUUGAAACUGAAAUACUAGAGUAUCGUAGAGGGAGGUAGAAUUCUAGGUGUAGCGGUGAAAUGCGUAGAUAUCUGGAGGAAUACCUGUGGCGAAAGCGGCCUCCUAAACGAAUACUGACACUGAGGUGCGAAAGCGUGGGGAGCAAACAGGAUUAGAUACC